CCUACGGGAGGCAGCAGUGGGGAAUAUUGGACAAUGGGCGAAAGCCUGAUCCAGCAAUGCCGCGUGAGUGAAGAAGGCCUUCGGGUUGUAAAGCUCUUUUACCCGGGAAGAUAAUGACUGUACCGGGAGAAUAAGCUCCGGCUAACUCCGUGCCAGCAGCCGCGGUAAUACGGAGGGAGCUAGCGUUGUUCGGAAUUACUGGGCGUAAAGCGUACGUAGGCGGCUUGGUAAGUCAGAGGUGAAAGCCCACGACUCAAUCGUGGAACUGCCUUUGAGACUGCUUCGCUUGAAGAUGGGAGAGGUUAGUGGAAUUCCGAGUGUAGAGGUGAAAUUCGUAGAUAUUCGGAAGAACACCAGUGGCGAAGGCGGCUAACUGGACCAUUCUUGACGCUGAGGUACGAAAGCGUGGGGAGCAAACAGGAUUAGAUACCCUGGUAGUCCACGCCGUAAACGAUGAUAACUAGCUGUCGGGGCUCUUGGAGCUUCGGUGGCGCGAGCUACGCAUUAAGUUAUCCGUCCGUCGGGUAGGUACGGCCGGCGAACGGUUAAACGUUAAACUAGUAAGUUAGUACGGCGUGAGACGUCGCCGACGGACGACGACGAGGGAGUAGG
rnacentral:rRNA from 1 species